rnacentral:rRNA from 1 species
UAUUAUUUAAAAUUGUUUUGAAUUCCUAGGUAGUAGUAGUUAUGGCCUUGAAACUUAAAAAAUUUGGCGGUAUUUUAGUCUAUCCAGAGGAACCUGUUCUGUAAUCGAUAAUCCACGUUGGACCUUACUUAAUAAAGUUUUCAGCUUAUAUACCGUCGUUAUAAGAAUAUUUUAUUAGAAUAAUAAUUUUCUUUAAUUUUUAUUAAAAUUUAUAUCAGAUCAAGGUGUAGCUAAUGAUUAAGUAGAAAUGGGUUACAAUAAAUUUAUUUAAACGGAUUUAAAAAUGAAAAAUUUAAUGAAGGUGGAUUUGGUAGUAAAUUUAUAUAUUUUGUUAAUUUGAUUUUAGCUCUAAAAUAUGC